CUCUGUUUCAGAAUGAUUCAGGGCGGAAGGAG
rfam:Bacillus megaterium QM B1551, complete genome.